CCAGAGUAGUCCGGGGUCCCUGGCCUCCGGAGGCGGAGGUCUGCAUCCUGCCUGCUCAAUACCCUGCCACAUCCCCAGCAGCAAUCUCUAGGUCCCCUCGCCCGCACCGUGAGGGGAAUUGCCUAGAGCGUGAGCCUCGAGUGGUGACAGCCUUUAGCGCGCGUUCCCGUGUUACAUCUGGUUCCUUUCCAGCUGAUGAACUUCUUGGCCACAGGUGGCUUCUCACCUCUAUACCCCUACAUUGCAGCACCGAGCACCGGACAGGCACUGUCCGUCCUCCCACCUCCCAGAUCCAGCAUUUUCUGGCGGCUAAGCAACAACGUGGUGAAAUCCAGCUCUGCCUACUCCACCCCAGCCCACUAAGCACUAAAGGUGUUAGAGAAUAACACAGCUAACCUGCUGGCCUCACCUGUUAUUUCCCACCCCUGACUCUGGUGGAUCCUGAGUGCUGAUAGGCAACCACACUACAUCUCCACAGCCUCUUCAAUCUCCCUCUCUCCUAGACAACAAUUUCAUACUUUUCUCUCCCCAAACCUACAACACCCCAUCACCAUCCUCGCUCUCAGUUUGCUUUUUAUAUGCAAAGUAGAGAACGUCCUCAGGCUCCCAGCCUCCUAACUCAUGUCAGCUUCUGCGCCCAAAUCUUUUGCUCUUUCUCCUGCUGUUAUAAAUGAAUCAUUCGUACUCCUAAGCCCUGCUGGGCACUUGGGCACUAGAUCCUAACCCCCUCACCCACUCGAUGACAAGUCUGAGGCUGUCCUCUCCCCAACCUUAAAGGCUGCACCUUCUCUAGCUGGCUUGCGCCCUCUUCCUCCUGACUCUACCACUCUCCCUGGAUGACCCCACUAACCCUCAUAAUGAACUGGACAUUUACUUCCUCUCCAACAUCCAAACUUCCUCCCUCUCAGCAGAACCCGACUAUUCGGGUACUACCCCCAGCCCUAGCUCCAGAUCCUGACCUAUCUGAGACCAUCUCCUGGCAGUAGCUGUUGGUCCAGUGAUGGCAUAUGUCCUGAGUUGUUCUCCGGGAGGGAUAACUUAUCCUCCGUGAAUGGACAAGCCCAACCCCCUCUCCUGCUUCGUGAGAAUAAGGAAGCAUGUAGCUCCAAUUGCCGGCCAGCUCUAAGAUGUAGCAGACACCAAGGACGGCAGACCAGAGAGAAAAAUGGAGUCGGCCCAGGUCCAGGUGACUGUGGAGCUGUCCACUGUAUAUGCCCAGAGCCCACCAGGUCUCUGGAUCAUACUGUGGCCUGGUACUAACAGGGCUUCCUCCCAAGAGGACUUGUAUCUGGAAUAAAAAU